AUUGAACGCUGGCGGCAGGCCUAACACAUGCAAGUCGAACGGUAACAGGAAGAAGCUUGCUUCUUUGCUGACGAGUGGCGGACGGGUGAGUAAUGUCUGGGAAACUGCCUGAUGGAGGGGGAUAACUACUGGAAACGGUAGCUAAUACCGCAUAACGUCGCAAGACCAAAGAGGGGGACCUUCGGGCCUCUUGCCAUCGGAUGUGCCCAGAUGGGAUUAGCUAGUAGGUGGGGUAACGGCUCACCUAGGCGACGAUCCCUAGCUGCUCUGAGAGGAUGACCAGCCACACUGGAACUGAGACACGGUCCAGACUCCUACGGGAGGCAGCAGUGGGGAAUAUUGCACAAUGGGCGCAAGCCUGAUGCAGCCAUGCCGCGUGUAUGAAGAAGGCCUCCGGGUUGUAAAGUACUUUCAGCGGGGAGGAAGGGAGUAAAGUUAAUACCUUUGCUCAUUGACGUUACCCGCAGAAGAAGCACCGGCUAACUCCGUG
rnacentral:rRNA from 1 species